rnacentral:rRNA from 1 species
CUCCGUUGGUGAACCAGCGGAGGGAUCAUUACAGAGUUGCAAAACUCCCAACCCUUUGUGAAUCAACUGGACAGUUGCCUCGGCGGGAGGCCCUUCAGGGGGCUGCCCGCCGGAGGACCACUAAACUCUUGUAUAUUUGGCCUCUGUGAGUAAUUCUAAAAUGAAUCAAAACUUUCAACAACGGAUCUCUUGGUUCUGGCAUCGAUGAAGAACGCAGCGAAAUGCGAUACGUAAUGUGAAUUGCAGAAUUCAGUGAAUCAUCGAAUCUUUGAACGCACAUUGCGCCCGCCAGCACUCUGGCGGGCAUGCCUGUUCGAGCGUCAUUUCAACCAUCAAGCCCCAGGCUUGUGUUGGAGCCCUGCGGCUGCCGCAGCCUCCUAAAAGCAGUGGCGGGCUCGCUAUCACACCGAGUGCAGUAGAUUUCUCUUCGCUCAGGGCGUGUGGCGGGUUCCAGCCGUGAAACCCCCUACUUUUUAAGGUGACCUCGGAUCAGGUAGGAAUACCCG